GGUGGAUACCUAGUCACCCAGAGACGAGGAAGGGCGUAGUAAGCGACGAAAUGCUUAGGGAAGUUGAAAAUAAACGUAGAUCUGGAGAUUCUCGAAUAGGUCAACCUUUCAAGUUGCUGCUGAAUCCAUGGGUAGACAAUAGACAACCUGGCGAACUGAAACAUCUUAGUAGUCGAAGGAAAAUGAAGCAAAAAUGAUUCACGUAAUAGUAUCAAGCGAAAUGGGAAUAGCCUAAAUCUUGAAAAUUGGGUUGUGGGAGAGCAAUAAAAGCGUCGUGCUGCUAGGCGAAGCGGUGAAGUGCCGAACCCUAAAUGGCGAUAGUCUAGUAGCCGAAAACAUUAUUAGCUUACGCUUUGACCCGAGUAACAUGAGGCAUGUGGAAUGCUGUGUGAAUCAACAAGGACCACCUUGCAAGACUAAAUACUCCUGGGUGACUGAUAGCGAAAUAGUACCGUGAGGGAAGGGUGAAAAGAACCCCGGUCGAGGAGUGAAAUAGAACAUGUUCUC
rfam:Gossypium raimondii chromosome 5, whole genome shotgun sequence.